CAGCAGCCGCGGUAAUACGGAGGGGGCUAGCGUUGUUCGGAAUUACUGGGCGUAAAGCGCACGUAGGCGGCUUUGUAAGUCAGAGGUGAAAGCCCGGGGCUCAACCCCGGAAUUGCCUUUGAGACUGCAUCGCUUGAAUCCAGGAGAGGUGAGUGGAAUUCCGAGUGUAGAGGUGAAAUUCGUAGAUAUUCGGAAGAACACCAGUGGCGAAGGCGGCUCACUGGACUGGUAUUGACGCUGAGGUGCGAAAGCGUGGGGAGCAAACAGGAUUAGAUACCCGUGUAGUCCCUGUCUCUUAUAC
rnacentral:rRNA from 1 species